rnacentral:rRNA from 1 species
AGAGGGUGCGAGCGUUGUCCGGAAUCACUGGGCGUAAAGGGCGCGUAGGCGGCCUGGUAAGUAGGGGGUGAAAUCUUGCGGCUCAACUGCAAGGCUGCCUCCUAAACUGUCAGGCUUGAGCACAGUAGAGGCAGGUGGAAUUCCCGGUGUAGCGGUGGAAUGCGUAGAGAUCGGGAAGAACAUCGGUGGCGAAGGCGGCCUGCUGGGCUGUUGCUGACGCUGAGGCGCGACAGCGUGGGGAGCAAACAGGAUUAGAUACCCUGGUAGUCCACGCCGUAAACGAUGGGUACUAGGCGUCGGGGGGAGCGACCCCUUCGGUGCCGUCGCUAACGCAGUAAGUACCCCGCCUGGGGAGUACGGCCGCAAGGCUGAA